rnacentral:rRNA from 1 species
GAGUUUGAUCCUGGCUCAGAUUGAACGCUGGCGGAAUGCUUUACACAUGCAAGUCGAACGGCAGCACGGGGGCAACCCUGGUGGCGAGUGGCGAACGGGUGAGUAAUACAUCGGAACGUGCCCAGUCGUGGGGGAUAACUACGCGAAAGCGUAGCUAAUACCGCAUACGAUCUACGGAUGAAAGCGGGGGAUCGCAAGACCUCGCGCGAUUGGAGCGGCCGAUGGCAGAUUAGGUAGUUGGUGGGGUAAAGGCUCACCAAGCCUUCGAUCUGUAGCUGGUCUGAGAGGACGACCAGCCACACUGGGACUGAGACACGGCCCAGACUCCUACGGGAGGCAGCAGUGGGGAAUUUUGGACAAUGGGCGCAAGCCUGAUCCAGCCAUUCCGCGUGCAGGAUGAAGGCCCUCGGGUUGUAAACUGCUUUUGUACGGAACGAAAAGGCGCUUUCUAAUACAGAGCGCUCAUGACGGUACCGUAAGAAUAAGCACCGGCUAACUACGUGCCAGCCGCCGCC